CGGCCCGGCCCGGCCCGGCCCGCCGCCCUGCGCCUGGGAGCCCGCAGAGGCAGCCCGGGGCCGCCGGUCGCAGUUUCCCCGGGGGUGGCAAGGUUCGAUCUCCCCCUCGCCAGGAACAGCGAGCUGGAGCUGCAGGAGGCAUGCAAAGCGGCUGCGACAACAAAAUUUUGACUGGCUUGAAUGGAAUCCUUAAUGAAUGAGUUGGAAAAAAGCCUUGCUAGGUGGAGAGGAAGAAACAAAUUUAAAGCUACCUUCAACUUCCCCUUCACUGACAAAGUCCUGCAUUUGACCUUGAAAUGGGGCACCCUUCAGAGAUCCUCACAAAUUCCUCCAGCUGUUCCGUAACCAGUACCAGUGCCAUAGCCAACCCCUGUAGUUUCUUCAACACCAGAAGCUACUACUCCUCCUC